ACCAUGAAAGUGAAAAAAAUUUAGUUUUAAUUUUGAAACCUCUAGUAAAAUUGUAGAUACUUUUAGGAAAGUAAAAUUUUGGAGAGUUAAAAAAUUUAAGAGAGAGUUGGAAAAAUUCUAAAGUGAGACUAGGAUUAGAUACCCUAUUAUUAUUGAGAGAAGUUAAAUUAGGUAGUAGUAGAAGGCUUGAAACUUAAAGAAUUUGGCGGUGUUUUAAUCUUAUCAGAGGAACUUGUAUUUUAAUUCGAAAUUACUCGUUUAAUUUUACUUAGGUUCUUGUUUGUAUAUCGUCGUAAAAAUAAGACUUUAAAGUAUAUAUUUUGGGGAGAUUUUCUUAAAAUUACAGAUCAAGGUUCAGCAAUAUCUAAGCACCAUAUGAGUUACAAUAUAUUGAAUGAUAUAUUUACGGAAAAAAGGUUGAA
rnacentral:rRNA from 1 species